UCCUGUCAGGCAAAAAGGCCUGCAGCCAGAGAUGGCAGAACAUGGUCCUGCAUGGGACACCAGCCAUCCAGGACAAAACAGGGACACGCACUGAGUCCAGCAGCCCAACUCUGCCUGUACUGGAGAAUGAUAACUUGGAGGACGGAGAACACGUUUUAAACACAGAGGAGGGAGAUGUGCAAGAGGAUGAACACCUGCCUCCAAGACUGGAUGGCUGCAAUCAGGCAUCAGAAGACUACGCCUGUGUCUGUUAUUGUUUGAUUACUUAUUUUAUUAUUAUUUGGAUAAUUAUUGGUCUUUAAUUGCCUAAUCA